AUUGAACGCUGGCGGCGUGCUUAACACAUGCAAGUCGAGCGGUAACAGGCGUAGCAAUACGUGCUGACGAGCGGCGAACGGGUGCGUAAUACAUGGGAAUCUGCCUUUUAGUGGGGAAUAACCCGGCGAAAGCCGGGCUAAUGCCGCAUAAGAUCUACGGAUGAAAGCGGGGGAUCGUAAGACCUCGCGCUGAAAGAUGAGCCCAUGCCGGAUUAGCAGUUGGUGAGGUAGCGGCUCACCAAGGCGACGAUCCGUAGCUGGUCUGAGAGGACGGCCAGCCACACUGGGACUGAGACACGGCCCAGACUCCUACGGGAGGCAGCAGUGGGGAAUAUUGGACAAUGGGCGAAAGCCUGAUCCAGCCAUGCCGCGUGAGUGAUGAAGGCCUUAGGGUU
rnacentral:rRNA from 1 species